ACUUAAAUAGCUUAAAAAGAGCACAAUAUUGAAGAUAUUGGGGUGAUUARUUUAAUCUUUAGGUA
rnacentral:tRNA from 1 species